rnacentral:piRNA from 1 species
UGACAAGCAGAUCUGGGUUUAUGAUG